GACAGGACUGGGUUAUAGACACUACUAGGUUAUAGACAGGACUGGGUUAUAGACAGGACUGGGUUAUAGACACUACUAGGUUAUAGACAGGACUGGGUUAUACACACUACUAGGUUAUAGACAGGACUGGGUUAUAGACAGGACUGGGUUAUAGACAGGACUGGGUUAUAGACAGGACUGGGUUAUAGACACUACUAGGUUAUAGACAGGACUGGGUUAUAGACAGGACUGGGUUAUAGACAGGACUGGGUUAUAGACAGGACUGGGUUAUAGACAGGACUGGGUUAUAGACAGGACUGGGUUAUAGACACUACUAGGUUAUAGACAGGACUGGGUUAUAGACAGGACUAGGUUAUAGACAGGACUGGGUUAUAGACACUACUGGGUUAUAGACACUACUGGGUUAUAGACACUACUGGGUUAUAGACACUACUAGGUUAUAGACAGGACUGGGUUAUAGACAGGACUAGGUUAUAGACACUACUGGGUUAUAGACAGGACUGGGUUAUAGACACUACUAGGUUAUAGACAGGACUGGGUUAUAGACACUACUAGGUUAUAGACAGGACUGGGUUAUAGACAGGACUGGGUUAUAGACACUACUGGGUUAUAGACAGGACUGGGUUAUAGACACUACUGGGUUAUAGACAGGACUGGGUUAUAGACACUACUAGGUUAUAGACAGGACUGGGUUAUAGACACUACUGGGUUAUAGACAGGACUGGGUUAUAGACACUACUGGGUUAUAGACAGGACUGGGUUAUAGACAGGACUAGGUUAUAGACAGGACUGGGUUAUAGACACAGUGCAUUAUUUCCACUCUGCACACUUCUUCAUACACUAGCUUCAUACUUCAUACAUUCCCAGUCACAGACAUACUGUUCCUCACACACUUCCUAAGAUAUUGACUGAUAUUGAUGUUGAUAUUGUACUGAGAUGAAUACCUGGCCAGUUUCUUUAACCUGU